rnacentral:lncRNA from 1 species
UUUCUGCUCGCAUUGCAAGGAUUUUAUAUGGGGCUUUGGCAAACAAGGAUUUCAAUGUCAAGUUUGUUCGUAUGUGGUGCACAAGCGCUGUCAUGAAUAUGUGACGUUCAUAUGCCCGGGCAAGGAUAAGGGAAUCGAUUCCCAUGUGACAUGAAUGUGCAUGCCCGCUGCAAGGAGAAUGUGCCGAGCUUGUGCGGUUGCGAUCACACCGAACGUCGUGGACGCAUCAAUUUGGAAUUGAAUGUGAAGGAGAAUUUGCUGACGGUACA